UGGGGCUCUGGCUACGUCGAGGACACUAGCUGAUGCAGCUGCUGUUGGGGAGGAACGGUCUCGUUGGUCUACUGCCUAGGGUCCUCGGUCUACUGCGGUGACUACUGAUGAUGAUGGGCCUCCUACGGAUGAUGAUGCACUGCUGGCGACUACUGAACCUCGUCAAUCCUCCGAGGGUCCGUCUUCCGGAACGGAAAAGCUAGCAACGACGAAAACACGAUCGGAAGAAUUCCGUUGGAACAAGUUGAGUACAUACAUGAGUCUAUAACAACGAAGGCAACUGAGAACACAAAAGCUCGAAUACAUAAGCUCGGGAGCUC
rnacentral:rRNA from 1 species